GGUUAAGCGACUAAGCGUACACGGUGGAUGCCCUGGCAGUCAGAGGCGAUGAAGGACGUGCUAAUCUGCGAAAAGCGACGGCGAGGUGAUAUGAACCUUUGACCCGUCGAUGUCCGAAUGGGGAAACCCAGUGUGUUCCGACACACUAUCGUUAACUGAAUACAUAGGUUAACGAGGCGAACCGGGGGAACUGAAACAUCUAAGUACCCCGAGGAAAAGAAAUCAACCGAGAUUCCCCCAGUAGCGGCGAGCGAACGGGGAGCAGCCCGGAGUCUGAAUCAGCUUGUGUGUUAGUGGAACGGUCUGGAAAGUCCGACGGUACAGGGUGAUAGUCCCGUACACGAAAAUGCACAGGUUGUGAACUCGAAGAGUAGGGCGGGACACGUGGUAUCCUGUCUGAAUAUGGGGGGACCAUCCUCCAAGGCUAAAUACUCCUGACUGACCGAUAGUGAACCAGUACCGUGAGGGAAAGGCGAAAAGAACCCCGGCGAGGGGAGUGAAAAAGAACCUGAAACCGUGUACGUACAAGCAGUGGGAGC
rnacentral:rRNA from 1 species